GUGGAGUAUGGCGCGGAGGGAGGGAGGGAGGGAGGGGAGAGGAGGUCUUAUAAAGCAUAGCCGGCCAGUAGGGCAGGGGGAGGCAAGGCAGUGGGGAGGACAGAGAGCAGAGCAGGGGGAGAGGGGGAGGCAAGGCAGUGGGGAGGACGGAGAGCAGAGCAGGGGGAGAGGGAGAUGGGCGGAGGCGAUCACACAGCACACCUGCACCCAUUCCCUCUCUAAUGUCCGACAGGGUCCAGAACCGGCAUGAUUUGUAGAGAGCCAUCUGCUCUGGAUCAAACACAGCGCUUCUUUAUUUUCCUAAAUCCUCUGGUCUUUGUAGCAGUAGAGUUGAAGAGGGAUAGUUACUGACACCAUAAAUCAUUAUGUUUAAACGUUAAUGUUGGUAGUCAGGCUAAUAGAUGAAUCACUCACUAUAUCCAAAACCCCAAACUAUACAUUCAACCUUUCUAUAUGUUCAUUUGUUAGAUGGUCACACAUCCUACUCCUUAAAUUCAUAGGAAAAAGGUGAAUUGUCUUCGCAUGUGUUAAACAACCAAGAACUCUUUCAUAGGAUUUCUAGAAAGCCAACAAGCGGUUUCACACGGCAUGUUAUUCUUCAAUUGUAACUUCCUGUCUGUGUUACUUAUCUAGAUGAUAGUGUGUUACUUAUCUAGAUGGUAGUGUGUUACUUAUCUAGAUGAUAGUGUGUUUCUUAACUAGAUGAUAGUGUGUUACUUAUCUAGAUGGUAGUGUGUUACUUAUCUAGAUGAUAUUGUGUUACUUAUCUAGAUGAUAUUGUGUUACUUAUCUAGAUGAUAGUGUGUUACUUAUCUAGAUGAUAGUGUGUUACUUAUCUAGAUGAUAGUGUGUUACUUAUCUAGAUGAUAGUGUGUUACUUAUCUAGAUGAUAGUGUGUUUCUUAUCUAGAUGAUAGUGUGUUUCUUAUCUAGAUGAUAUUGUGUUACUUAUCUAGAUGAUAUUGUGUUACUUAUCUAGAUGAUAGUGUGUUACUUAUCUAGAUGAUAUUGUGUUACUUAUCUAGAUGAUAUUGUGUUACUUAUCUAGAUGAUAUUGUGUUACUUAUCUAGAUGAUAUUGUGUUACUUAUCUAGAUGAUAUUGUGUUACUUAUCUAGAUGAUAGUGUGUUACUUAUCUAGAUGAUAUUGUGUUACUUAUCUAGAUGAUAUUGUGUUACUUAUCUAGAUGGUAGUGUGUUACUUAUCUAGAUGAUAUUGUGUUACUUAUCUAGAUGAUAUUGUGUUACUUAUCUAGAUGGUAGUGUGUUACUUAUCUAGAUGAUAUUGUGUUACUUAUCUAGAUGAUAGUGUGUUUCUUAUCUAGAUGAUAUUGUGUUACUUAUCUAGAUGAUAGUGUGUUUCUUAUCUAGAUGAUAGUGUGUUACUUAUCUAGAUGAUAGUGUGUUACUUAUCUAGAUGAGUGUGUUACUUAUCUAGAUGAUAUUGUGUUACUUAUCUAGAUGAUAUUGUGUUACUUAUCUAGAUGAUAUUGUGUUACUUAUCUAGAUGAUAGUGUGUUACUUAUCUAGAUGAUAGUGUGUUACUUAUCUAGAUGAUAUUGUGUUACUUAUCUAGAUGGUAGUGUGUUACUUAUCUAGAUGAUAUUGUGUUACUUAUCUAGAUGAUAUUGUGUUACUUAUCUAGAUGAUAGUGUGUUUCUUAUCUAGAUGAUAGUGUGUUACUUAUCUAGAUGAUAGUGUGUUACUUAUCUAGAUGAUAUUGUGUUACUUAUCUAGAUGAUAUUGUGUUACUUAUCUAGAUGAUAUUGUGUUACUUAUCUAGAUGGUAGUGUGUUACUUAUCUAGAUGGUAGUGUGUUACUUAUCUAGAUGAUAUUGUGUUACUUAUCUAGAUGAUAUUGUGUUACUUAUCUAGAUGAUAUUGUGUUACUUAUCUAGAUGAUAUUGUGUUACUUAUCUAGAUGAUAGUGUGUUUCUUAUCUAGAUGAUAGUGUGUUACUUAUCUAGAUGAUAGUGUGUUACUUAUCUAGAUGAUAUUGUGUUACUUAUCUAGAUGGUAGUGUGUUACUUAUCUAGAUGGUAGUGUGUUUCUUAUCUAGAUGGAGCCCAACUCUUCAGGGUAUAGAUUUGUGAGAAUGUUAAGGCAGGGAGAGAAAAAAAGGAAAACCGCUCACUGAAAGGUCAGAACACUUUUUUGUUUGUUUGUCCUACAACAUUUUUGAAGAAAUGUCUAGGAAACGUGACUGUGCCUUUGUAGACAAAAAGACUCAGAGAAACAGGCGGUGUUUUAUACAAGCUUUAUUACAACUUGGUUAACAGCUGUACAUGUCAGAGCGUAGGAAGCACAUUUUAUCAACAAGUUUCAAAUGGACAGGUAACUAUGACCACUAAUGUCCUCCUCCACUGUUUGUUAGUCCCAUACAGUGUGUACAUAUUAUACAAGCAGCAAUAUAAAACUUGGCAAAUGGAAAGGUUUUUUGCUACUUUAUUUUUUAAUGUAAAAUAAGUCUUUCCUAUGAAUAAAAAAUACAGCAACCAUAAAACCUGGCGAUUAA